AUAUGGCUUGGUGGCGAUCAAGUGGAUAGAUUGUUAGUUUAAAUAAUUGAAUUUGAGAUAGCGCACUCCAGGCAUGAAAGACUGCUGACAAAAGCGCUCGCACCCCCUAACGGGUUACAAAUAGGGGAGGGCGAAAGUAGGUAAAAGUGACAGCACAAGACCUCCAAAAUGAGCUAUGCUGAAUAGCUCCCAGCUAAGUCUUAUUAUUCUAUAAGAUAUGCUGAAACGUGCCGAGAUGGGUCAAAUACACGAUGAGGAUGCGAACAAAGCCCCGAAAGGGGCGGCUUGUAGGGCGUGGAAUGAACGCAAGUAAAAAGUUCGUUCAAGGGUUGAGAUACCUUUGAAGUUUGUAACCC
ncrna:unclassified sequences GEBRO RNA